AGACUGUGAAGAGAAUGAGCCUGCCGAAGUGCCACCUGUCCAGGAUGAACAGGGUCUGGAAGCAAAGAGAUCCAUCAAGAAGAGAAUCAAACAGCUCAAGGUGCUGGACCCAAAGAUCGCUCAGAACCUCUCUAUCUUCCUGGGGUCCUUCAGGAUACCUUACCAGGAGAUCAGACG